rnacentral:tRNA from 1 species
AGCGAGAUGGCGCAGCUGGUAGCGCGCUGGGCUCAUAACCCAGAGGUCGUUGGAUCGAAACCAACUCUCGCUA